GACGAACGCUGGCGGCGUGCUUAACACAUGCAAGUCGAACGAGUGGCGAACGGGGGAGUAAAACGUGGGUGACCUUCCCUGCACUUCGGGAUAAGCCUGGAAACUGGGUCUAAUAUCGGGUAGUGUGGGAUGGGCCUGCGGCCUAUCAGCUUGUUGGGGGGGGAAUGGCUACCAAGGCGCGAAUCCUAGCUGGUCUGAGAGGAUGAUCAGCCACACUGGGACUGAGACACGGCCCAGACUCCUACGGGAGGCAGCAGUGGGGAAUAUUGCACAAUGGGCGCAAGCCUGAUGCAGCCAUGCCGCGUGUAUGAAGAAGGCCUUAGGGUUGCAAAGUACUUUCAGCGGGGAGGCGUUACCCGCAGAAGAAGCACCGGCUAACUCCGUGCCAGCAGCCGCGGUAAUAC
rnacentral:rRNA from 1 species